CGGCCUUCCAGCUGGCGGGCCAGGGCGUCCUGGCUGUCGGCCUGGGUCAGCUCUAGGGUGGCCAGUUCGACGCCGGGCAGGGCGGCCA
rnacentral:tRNA from 1 species